rnacentral:tRNA from 1 species
UGGGGCGGGGCUCAGUCGGUUAAGCGCCCGACUUUGGCUCAGGUCAUAAUCUUACGUUUCGUGGGUUCGAGCCCCACCGUCUCGG